rnacentral:miRNA from 1 species
AUAUACUCAGCCAGGUGUAUGAUAUAUAUAUAUAUAUAUAUAUAUAUAUAUAUAUAUAUAAUCACACACCUGACUGAAUAUAU